GAACUCGCGGAGGUANUACAGAUCGCCCGGUUGCCGCAAGGCNCCCGGUAACNACCACCNUUGUUAUUACACUUUGUGUUUGGCAGGCCUGCCCUCGGGCUGUGGCUCCGGCCGGCGAGCGCUGNCAGAGGACCUAAACUCUGUUGCAUACUGCUGANUACUAUAUAAUAGUUAAAACUUUCAACAACGGAUCUCUUGGUUCUGGCAUCGAUGAAGAACGCAGCGAAAUGCGAUAAGUAAUGUGAAUUGCAGAAUUCAGUGAAUCAUCGAAUCUUUGAACGCACAUUGCGCCCCCUGGUAUUCCGGGGGGCAUGCCUGUCCGAGCGUCAUUACAACCCUCAAGCUCAGCUUGGUAUUGGGCCCCGCCGCUCCGGCGGGCCCUAAAGUCAGUGGCGGUGCCGUCCGGCUCCGAGCGUAGUAAUUCUUCUCGCUCUGGAGGUCCGGUCGUGUGCUCGCCAGCAACCCCCAAUUUUUUUCAGGUUGACCUCGGAUCAGGUAGGGAUACCCGCUGAACUUAAGCAUAUCAAUAAGCGGGAGGA
rnacentral:rRNA from 1 species